ensembl:lncRNA
AUGAAGGCUAUUUUUGAAGAAUUAAUUUUCCUCACGUUUAAACUUGUUUUCCUGUUAGAGAUACAACCUAACCAGCUACCCAGUUCUUUGUGCCAUGAAACUCCUUCAGAAUAUCUGGUUUAUUUUACUGAGAGUGCUGCAUCUAAAUCACUUCUCCAAAGUUACCAGGAGAGGACUCUAAGGUCACACCCGCCCCAGAUGGUCUUGACAAAUGUGAACACUGAGCAUGAAAAGCAGGAAAUGCAGGAGAACAAGACAGAGGAAAUGGUAGAUUCAUCCUUUGUGUCUUUCAAGGAGACAUGGCGAACAAAAGUCCAUGAUAAGCUGUAAAUUUGAAGACAAAUCAUGAAAAAAUAAUUACCAUGUAACUGUAGUAAAUUCCCAGGUGCGUGGGGAAGAGACACUUCCAUGUUUUAGAAGACGAGUUACACUCGAGUCCCAAGAAGGAAGAUCUGAGUGGUAGAUGUUUCCAUUUUUAUAUUACUAAUGAUGAAACUAAGGCUCAGAGAAGUAAAGGAGCUUGCCUAAGAUGCUCUGAAAAUAUAUGGGAGAAACCAUCAAUCUCAUGAUUAUAAUAAAUGAUAAUAAAUGAUAGAAUAAAGAAGAGCCCAUAAGAGAGAGGAAAAUAAACUUCAGGGCACUGUGAAAGAAGGCCUGGCAAAUGCAACCUACAAUCCAUUUUGUGAUAUUGAUGAACUGUAAUGUUGAUUUACCCUGUUUUUUUCACCAAAGGAAGCCAUUGAGCUACGGUUAUAAGAUUUCUUCUUGGACAUUUGAAACUGAGACUUUCCAAAUUCUUAUUUUUCAGAAGUUGAUGAAUUUCAGCCCUAGGCAGGAUUUUUAUAAAACAAAUUUAGGGGAGAAUACAUUUUAGAUAAUUUCUUUGUGCUGCCAUUUAUCACCUGUUGGUUGAAGAUCUGUGUUUUAGGUGAUGCUGUUGUAAGUAGUACUGCAAACACUUUCUGCUUUUAAGUGUGUACAGCUCUCAGAAUCUGAAUUACAUGGUAUAGUGCUUUUGUAAAGUGUAUGUUUUCAAUGGUAUAAAGUUUAUUUCGAUGUUUUAAAUCAUCGAUCUCCUGUGCAUAGAUUUUGUUGUUUUUUGCUUUUUCUACAUUGUUACAAAUAUAUCCCAGUCACUAGGCCAUAGUUGUCUAGGUUUUCGUCAAGGUGUUUCUUUUUUCCAUGUCUUUUCCCAGAGACUUUCCAAGCUCUAGGAUUCAAGGCAGACCUCUCAUACCUCUUAGAUCUUACUUAAAUCUGAUUUGGGCUUCAGGGAAAACAUUAAAGACACAACCAGUACCUGAAACUUUUAGCCUCAGUGUUCUCAUUUAUCCUUGGUCACUUCCCCUAGCCUAUGAAGGGAAUUUCCGAUUGAGUUCUGCAUCUCUGAUUUUUAAAUUUUUGAUCAUAAUUCAUUUUUCCUGAGAAAGCAUUUUUGUAUUUUAGGAGUAUAAACCCAAGAAUUCACAAUGGUAUUUUUUCUUAUAGGAAUGCAUGAGAUGUUUGCCUUUCUAAAAAUAAAUGUAAAACCUAUAAACUAUGUGAUUAUACUUUCCCAAGUUUCUAGGAAUCAACCCAAGUGAAAUUAUUAUAAACAUAUAAGAAAUCAUGUCUACCACUGAAAAUAUAAAAUUUAACAGAACCUGUAAUCAGCAAUUUCUUCGUUUUCCUUGUCUUACUGUUCCUUCUUAUAAUUGUUGACAGACACGCAUUGUAAAAAGAAUGAGAGUUCAGUAUUUGUGGGAAAGAAUUUCCGAGUUAUUUCUAGUAAUUCCCUUGCUCCCUUAAUUAGCCAGUAUGGGAUUUUUUUUUUAAUGUGUAGAAGACUUUAUUUUGUUAACACUUGCUCUAAUCCAACUUAAUAAAGUGGAAGUUUUCUCUGUCCGCUGAUGCUAUGGGAAAUCUGAGAAUUCAGGCUCUGUCCAUUGCUGUUGGUCCAUUCCCCUGAAAAUGAUCUUUAGUUUUUGGUCUACUAGAGAAAAAUAAUGAUUUUUAUGGCUCAAAAGUGUCUUUUUAAAAUAGAGAUUUUUUGGAUGAUAUCUUUCAACUCACCUUUUAUGUUUUCUGAAUAAAUAAUCCUGUGGAUAAAUGCCCUUUUAUAUAUGUGUGACAAGUAGUUGAAUAGACAAAACUUCUAGUUGAAGAAAUAAUUCUAUACUUUUUUAAAAUUAAGAAUUACUAUUUAUUUAUUUAUUUAUUUAUUUAUUUAUUUAUUUAUUUUUGAGACAGAGUCUGGCUCUGUGCCCAGGCUGAAGUGCAAUGGCACGAUCUCAGCUCACUGCAACCUCGACCUCUGAGGUUUCAGUGAUUCUCCUGCCUCAGCCUCCUGAGGAGCUGGGACUACAGACACGCACCACCACACCCAGCUAAUUUUUUUUUUUUUUUUUGUAUUUUUAGUAGAGAUGGGGUUUCAUCAUUUUGGCCAGGAUGGUUUCGAUCUCUUGAACUUGUGAUCCACCCGCCUCAGCCUCCCAAAGUGCUGGGAUUAUAGGCGUGAGCUACUACACCUGGCCCAAGAAUUACUUUUUAAGUGAAAAUCCACAGAUUCUUGUUUUAUAUUUUUGGAUUUUCAAAUCUUGAUAUCCUUUCAAGAAAGGCAUAGUCUUUAUAAAUAAUAUUCAAAAAAGUAUUAACAUAAAUACUAUGUAUGUUCAUGUAAUUUCAGAGCUUCACUAUGUAUACCCAUAUAUGUAUAUGUGUAUAUAUGUGUGCCUGUGUGUGCGUAUGUUUCUGGUACAAAUUGAUUUAAUAAACUAUUUGAAGAAAAAACUAUCCCUGAUUACCUAACUCAUAUUUUAUCAUAUGAAAUUUAGCACAUGGUAUAGUUUGUUUUAUUCCGUGUUUCCGAAUUGUUUUAGUUGUCAUUAGUACUCUCUGAUAGUUACCAAAAAAAUAGUUGUAAAUAUUUGUAACAUCAAUCUUGUUUCACCUUUGGUUUAAUAGUCUAAAAUUCUUUGAUCCUGAAUACAAAGAGAAGUCCCAGAACAUUUAGGAAGAUUGAUGGAAGGGUAAUUGGAACCCAGGACUACAUUCUAUCUACACAUCCACCUAGUAAGAUAGAGGCUGACUGCUGAAACUGCAGG